rnacentral:rRNA from 1 species
UACGAAGGGGGCUAGCGUUGCUCGGAAUUAUUGGGCGUAAAGGGUGCGUAGGCGGUUUGGUAAGUCUUAUGUGAAAUCUACAGGCUCAACUUGUAGUCUGCAUGAGAAACUGCCGGGCUUGAGUAUGGGAGAGGUGAGUGGAAUUCCUGGUGUAGCGGUGAAAUGCGUAGAUAUCAGGAAGAACACCCGUGGCGAAGGCGGCUCUCUGGGACGGUACUGACGCUGAGACGCGAAAGCGUGGGGAGCGAACAGG